rnacentral:lncRNA from 1 species
GUGAAGAUGAUCUUCCCUAGUAAUGGUUUGUCCAAUAGAACAUAAAACUGUGACGCUUGAAGAUAAACGUGACCUUGACCAGCCCUGAGGAACUUCAGGACUGAAUCCUGCAGUAGAAGCAAGAACAGGCUAUUGGGAGACUCUGGUCCUCAACUGCACAAAGAAGGGCCCAUAUCCUCAACUCUGCCACAGACCUCUUUGAUUCCAGUUGGAAGCCUGGAGAUUUCACUGCUGCUGAGGAGGGUUCCAGGGACUGGGAAACCUGAGCUGUGAGCUGAGCUUGGGUGAUCUGUUUCCAUCUGUGGUCUGGUGCUGAUGGUUUCCAAGGCAGGAAUCAAGUCAGUCCUUGAAGAGCUACAACAGAGCAAAAGUGCAGGUAAACAAAGCAACACGAAGGCUAAAUAAAAGUCAUUUCCCCAAGCAAAAUAAGGGUAGGGACCUUCAGAUGGACAGAUUAGCCUGGAUUAAGCAGAUGGAGAAGCCGAGGAUCAAGGAUCGGGCCAGGAGCCAAGGAAUACUGCCACCUCUAGAAGUUGGGAACGGCCCUCAGCUUACAGCCACUAAGAAAAGGGGGAUUUUGGCCCUCUAGCUGCAAGGAAUCUAAUUCCACUUGAAUUAACAAGGAACAUCCAGGCAGGAAUGUAGCCCUGACAACACCCUAAUUUAGGCCAGUCAGGCCCGGACAGACUUCUGACCCACGGAAUUCUAAAAUAAUUUGUGUUUCUUAAACCAUCAAAUUUGUUGUAAUUUGUUAUGGUAGCAACAGGAAUCAAAUAUACCUCUCUACUUUUACAAGAUAUUGUUGUCUGCAGCCUGUUUGAAGUCGGUGACUAAACACAGCUGGUUACUAUGGCAGGCCCAUUCUGAAGAGUUGCAGGACACCCUCGGGAGUACUUUGGUUUGAAGCCUCCUCAUCACCUCGGCUGCCGUUUCUGGGAUCUGGGUUGCAGUCUGAGGCUCAUUUUUCCAAUUCCCAAUACUUCCUACUGAUGAUAUUCUUGAGAGUCAGGCUUUAUCAAGAGAGAAAAAGGACUUUAAAAUUUUCAAACUCCUUUUUAAAUAUCAGAGAUUUUUUUGGCCUACUUUGAUUACAGGUCCUUACUUAUAAGUCUCUCCUUCCUAGGGAGAAAAUAGAAAGCUUUAAGAGACAGAUUACACUUUACCUGACAUUCAUUUUUGCAUGCCUUGUUAAACAUGAAAGAAUGUGUUAAGGCCAUUUUUUAUUGUUUAAUUUGUUGUUUUGACUUUGGGUGUGUGUGUUUGUGUCAAUUAUUUUUUAAUCUACUAGAACAUUCAUUAUCCUUUUUAUUUUGGAAAACAAGGGUGAGAAAGGUUACGUGAUCUGGAGGUAAAAAUACACCAUUAUGUAAAGUUGAAGUGUCAUCCCCUGAAUCCACAUUGCACAUCUAUAAAGUAGAAGAACUUGUCUUACUCCAGUGUUUAGUAUUCGUUAGGUUAAUGUUUUUCAAACAAGCUUGAUAGUAAGAAGCAUUUGAGACUUUUGUUUAAAAUACAUCCCCCUCUACCACUGAAAGUUUAAUUUGGUAAGUUUGUUUGGACAUACAGAUUCUGUAUUUCUAAGAAAUAUUUAGAUGGUUUUUAUCAGACUUGGAGGUCCUCUUAUUGAAAAUAAAAAAGUAGACAUGCUCACGAUGAAGUUUACCUUUUCUUUCUAUUCAUCUAUUUUAAAAAAUAUUUAUGAAAAAUGCUUGCCUGCUGCUUAGCUUGAUUUAAGAGAUAAACUGAUCAGACAGAAUGUCAAGCCAGCCAGCAUCUCCUGGUCUACACCAAAGCCUUUCCUACUUCUUUCAAACAGUGAAGGCACCAGGACAGAGU